UACGUAGGGACCAAGCGUUGUUCGGAUUUACUGGGCGUAAAGGGCGCGUAGGCGGCGUGGUAAGUCACUUGUGAAAUCUCUGAGCUUAACUCAGAACGGCCAAGUGAUACUGCUGUGCUAGAGUGCAGAAGGGGCAAUCGGAAUUCUUGGUGUAGUGGUGGAAUGCGUAGAUAUCGGGAGGAACACCAGUGGCGAAGGCGGUUGCCUGGGGCUUUGCUGACGCUGAUGCGCGAAAGCGUGGGGAGCGAUCCGG
rnacentral:rRNA from 1 species